rnacentral:rRNA from 1 species
UACGGAGGAUGCGAGCGUUAUCCGGAUUUAUUGGGUUUAAAGGGUGCGCAGGCGGCACGGCAAGCCGGCGGUCAAAUCGCGGGGCUCAACCCCGCCCAGCCGUCGGAACUGCCGGGCUAGAGUGGGCGAGAAGUGCGCGGAAUGCGUGGUGUAGCGGUGAAAUACAUAGAUAUCACGCAGAACUCCGAUUGCGAAGGCAGCGCACCGGCGCCCUACUGACGCUCAGGCACGAAAGCGUGGGUAUCGAACAGG